AUUGAACGCUGGCGGCAUGCUCUACACAUGCAAGUCGAACGGUAACAGGCCGCAAGGUGCUGACGAGUGGCGGACGGGUGAGUAAUGCAUCGGAACGUGCCCAGUCGUGGGGGAUAACUACUCGAAAGAGUAGCUAAUACCGCAUACGAUAUAUGGAUGAAAGCGGGGGACCGUAAGGCCUCGCGCGGUUGGAGCGGCCGAUGUCAGAUUAGGUAGUUGGUGGGGGAAAGGCUCACCAAGCCAACGAUCUGUAGCUGGUCUGAGAGGACGACCAGCCACACUGGGACUGAGACACGGCCCAGACUCCUACGGGAGGCAGCAGUGGGGAAUUUUGGACAAUGGGCGCAAGCCUGAUCCAGCAAUGCCGCGUGCAGGAAGAAGGCCUUCGGGUUGUAAACUGCUUUUGUACGGAACGAAACGGCUCUGGUUAAUACCCGGGGCUAAUGACGGUACCGUAAGAAUAAGCACCGGCUAACUACGUG
rnacentral:rRNA from 1 species